GGGCGUGUGGCUCAGUUGGUAGAGCGCCCGCUUAGCAUAAAAUUUCUGUCAUGAAAAUAGAGAUUUCCUACUAUGCGGAAGGUCCCCGGUUCGAUUCCGGGCUCGUCCA